UACAGAGGGUGCGAGCGUUGUCCGGAAUCACUGGGCGUAAAGGGCGCGUAGGCGGCUCGGUCAGCGUGCGGUGAAAGCCCGGGGCUCAACCCCGGGUCGGCCGUGCGAACUGCUGGGCUGGAGCACUGUAGAGGCAGGUGGAAUUCCGGGUGUAGCGGUGGAAUGCGUAGAGAUCCGGAAGAAUACCGGUGGCGAAGGCGGCCUGCUGGGCAGUAGCUGACGCUGAUGCGCGACAGCGUGGGGAGCAAACAGG
rnacentral:rRNA from 1 species